rnacentral:snRNA from 1 species
GGGAGCUUCGGCGCAAGUG